rnacentral:rRNA from 1 species
UGGCUCAGAUUGAACGCUGGCGGCAGGCCUAACACAUGCAAGUCGAGCGGAAACGAGUUAUCUGAACCUUCGGGGGACGAUAACGGCGUCGAGCGGCGGACGGGUGAGUAAUGCCUAGGAAAUUGCCCUGAUGUGGGGGAUAACCAUUGGAAACGAUGGCUAAUACCGCAUAAUGCCUACGGGCCAAAGAGGGGGACCUUCGGGCCUCUCGCGUCAGGAUAUGCCUAGGUGGGAUUAGCUAGUUGGUGAGGUAAUGGCUCACCAAGGCGACGAUCCCUAGCUGGUCUGAGAGGAUGAUCAGCCACACUGGAACUGAGACACGGUCCAGACUCCUACGGGAGGCAGCAGUGGGGAAUAUUGCACAAUGGGCGCAAGCCUGAUGCAGCCAUGCCGCGUGUGUGAAGAAGGCCUUCGGGUUGUAAAGCACUUUCAGUCGUGAGGAAGGUGGUAGUGUUAAUAGCACUAUCAUUUGACGUUAGCGACAGAAGAAGCACCGGCUAACUCCGUGCCAGCAGCCGCGGUAAUACGGAGGGUGCGAGCGUUAAUCGGAAUUACUGGGCGUAAAGCGCAUGCAGGUGGUUUGUUAAGUCAGAUGUGAAAGCCCGGGGCUCAACCUCGGAAUAGCAUUUGAAACUGGCAGACUAGAGUACUGUAGAGGGGGGUAGAAUUUCA